CGACAGGACUUCCCGGGUGUCCCCCGGCCGUGGACAGGCCACCGCCCCUGGGGUUCCUCAGCUUCUCUGCCAGGCGGGGGGACUGGGGAGGACGGGCACCGCCUCCAGAGGCGGCUGGGAUUCGUCCGCUCGCUGCCCCCGCAGCUCUGUCCCCCAGCAGUGUCCUCCAGGCUAAGAUCCUUUCGCCCUGCGGCCGGCACAGGGGCCGGGGGGGACAGACACUGGGCCUGGCCCGUGGUCCCGGACAAGGCCUCUGCGGGCCUCCCGCGAGUCACCAUGCGCGGGUCAGCGGUCCCCGGCGGCAGUCCAGGAGGGAGGGGAGGAAGGGGGGGAGCAGCGAGCCUUUCUUCAGUCCUCUGGGAAAAUGUCCUCGCACCACCUGUCCGCAGAGUCAGGACACGCCCUCCCCGGGCGUCCACUCCCGAAUCCCAGAACCCAUAAACACGUCACCAGUUGCAAGGCUCUUAUAUUGAAUCGCCACAGCCUGCUGUAAUCUGCGCGGUCAGGAACGGGGAAAGAAGUCAGAGUGGGCCCGUCUCCCGCACCUUGGUGAGGCCAGCUGGCAGGAGGGAAGGGCCUGGGGGCCGGGGGACAUUAGAACACUGCUCUGGGGACGCCAAGAACCAGGCGCAGACAGACAAACUGACCACCUCCUGGUCCCCAGCCCCACGCUGUGUUAAUCGGCUCUCAGGCACCAGCAGCUCUGGGGAGCUGGACUUCGGAGACAGCGAGAAUCCAGGAGCAGGUUCAAGCCUGAGCUCCACUGGCUGCUGGUGAUUCCGGGCAAGCCGAUUUACCUCUCCGAGCCUCAGUUUCCCCAAAUGUGCAGGGUGUGAUGGCGGCCUCCGGAGCUGUUCCCGGGAAGGCCCCUCCCGGAGGCCACGGCCAGGAGCACCAGGCGCUCCGCGGGGCCAUCCCAGCCCGGAGACCGGGCCCCGUGUCCCCAUCUUCAGCUGCCACCCGGCAGGGCCAUGUUCCUUUCCGCUGGAGCGGGGUGUCCUCGCCAUGCUGCCCGGGAGCCCGGCUCCACGUCCUCACCUGCCCCAGCCGAAAAGAAAACAGACAGGUAUGAGUGUUUCUAUUUAAGUUGUUUAUAAAAACGGAAGUGUUCAUUACAGAAACUUUGAAAAUACAGAAGAGCACAAAAACAUAUUACCCAUAAGAUAAUUACUGAGUAUGUUUUGUUGAAAGUCCUGGUAUAUUUUCAAAAUCAUAUAUGUAUGUGUGUGUGGUCAUACUAUUGGUAUUUCAGAAUCUUUGUUUAAUAUGGUGGUGAGCAUUUUAUGUCAUUAAAUAUUAUUCUAUAAGGAUUUGAAAAAUAAAAUGCAAAUGCCAAUUAAUCUUCUCAUCAGCUUUAUUGAGGUACAAUUUACACGCAGGAAGACUCCUCUCACUUGUACUGUCUGAUGAGUUUUGACAAAGGCGUACAGCCGUCACCACCGCCGGGAGAGGAAGCAUCCGUCAUCACAAGGUUUUCCUCGGCUCUGCCUGCAGUCGGCCUCAGCGUCCCGGGUCCCUGGCAGUCACUGAUCUGAAUUCUGUCACUGUGGAUGAGUUUCCUCUUUGUGAGAAUUUAAUAUAAAUGGAAGCAGGGAGUGUGAAGUCCUGCUCAGCACCGUUAUCUUGAGAGUCUUCUAUGUUGUGGGGUUUAUCGCUAGAGCGCUCCUUUCCCGCUUCUGUCAUUCCGGUGAAUGCCCAUCACGGGUUGUUUGUUCAUUUGCCUGUUGAUAGACAAAUGGGUUGUUUCUGAUUUUUUGGCUCUUGUGAAUAAAGCUUUGUGAGUGCCUUUUUUUUUUUUUAACUUUUAAUAAGAAUCUCCAGUGGCGCCCGUUAUGGACUAGCCGCUGGGGUGGGCAUGGCCUGAGAGCGGUGGAGUGUCCCACCCUGUGGACGGCUUGCAAUUUUUGCCACUGUUGUCGGCCAUUUAGUCACUUAGUUGUGGUUUUUUAGUAUUCCAUUUUUAAAUUUUCUGUUUGAGAGAUUGUGAGUUUACAAAACAAUGAUGCAUACCAUGCAGGAUUCCCAUGCGUGGCCCCACCUUCACCUUACAUUGUUGUGACACAUUUGUUACAAAUGAUGACAGCACACCGUCAAAACAGUACUGCUCUCUCUAGUCCAUAGUUCAUAUUUGGUAUAUUAUUCCCACAAACCAUCCUAUUAUUAACUCCAUGUGUAGCAGUUUGAUAUAAUUGAUGAAUUCCAAAAAGAAAUAUUGGAUUAUGCUUGUAAUCUGAUCUGCACCUGGGCAUGACUGAGUCAGGAUUCGGGCAAUUAGGGGGUUGAGUUCCCGCCCCUUGGUGUUGGGAUUUAAAAAAAGGCAUGGCAAAGAACAGAGUUGGGGGCUUUUAAUGUUGGAGUUUUGAUUUUGGAGUUUGAUGCCGAAGACUUAAGCUGGAGCCCUGGGAAGUCAGCACGCAGCCUGACCCCUCGCAGACGUCUUGCUCCAAAUAGACUUUGGUGAGGGAAGUAACUUCUGCUUUAUGGCCUGGUAUCUGUAGGCUCCUACCCCAAAUAAACACCCUUUAUAAACACCAACCCAUUUCUGGUAUUUUGCAUCAGCGCCCCCUUG
rnacentral:lncRNA from 1 species